rnacentral:tRNA from 1 species
UCCCUGACAAUCUAGUGAUUAGGAUUCAGCACUUUCACAGAUAUGUCCCAGGUUCAAUCCCUGGUCAGGGAA